AUGAGUGCGUUAGUGUGGACCUGUCGCGGGGCUGGCAAACCCGCGACAGUUCGCGAGCUUCGAGAUCUAUUGAAGCAAUUUGUCCCCUCUAUCAUUUGUAUUGUCGAAACCCAAAUAGAGGGAACUCGUGUGGAAAACUUGGCAGGAUCUUUAGGGUACAAUAAAGGUUUUGUUGUUAGCAGCAAUGGCAGGAGUGGUGGUCUAGGGAUUUUUUGGAAUGAUGAAAUAAAGCUUGAAGUGAUUGGUUACUCUGAGUAUCAUAUAGAUGUUACAGUUGACGAAAUGGUCGAAGCAAAAACAAGAAUAACUUUUGUAUACGGCGAGGCCCAAGUUAGUGAGAGACACAAAACUUGGGACAUGCUUCGAGGUAUAGUUGGAAACGGAAACCUGCCAUGGGUGGUGAUCGGUGAUUUUAACGAGGUGCUUCAUGCAAAUGAACAUGAUGGGGUAGGACAGAGGAGUCAAGCUUAG
rnacentral:rRNA from 1 species